UUUUUAAACUCAUUUGAAACCUGUCAAGCAUGUGCAUUGAUUGUACAUUGAAUAGUUCUGAAUAGCAUAAUGCAUAGUUAGAUAAGUCAGUAAGAAUCCUCUCACAUAUUUGAGGGUGGUGAGGUCUGGGCAGGAAGACUGAUCACAUGGACUGCGUUCGAAGAAAAAUACCAGCUAUCUUGAUGUGGCUAUGACAACUUCUUAUAUUUGUUUAAGAAAUUCUUAGUAUUGUUGUCAUAACAAAUCUCGCUCCACCCAGUUUCGCAAGAGAAAAUGUAACAGUUUCCAUAAUACUCAAGUUAUUCCUUCUAGCUGUGAUUGAUUGCACCUGAAUACAUUGUAAAUAUAAAGUAUUUAAUUGAGAUUGCAGCCUUUUUUUCCUCUUCAAAAUUUGUCUGUUUUGUCUGAAGCACCUGUUGCUCAUCUAAAAACUGACAUUGAACUGAUAUCACAGUGAAGUGGAAUGGGCAUCAAUGUGGAGAAGGCUUUUUCUCUUAUGCAAACAAAGCCUAAGCUGUCAUUAACAAUGUACAUCUAUACUAGCAUGCGUAUGUCAGGGUAAGUGUCUGGGCACAGACACUUUCAUAAUGUUACCUCUGUCGUGCACAGCUUGUUUCUUCAUAAGCCGUGGAAAGAAUUUGCUCAUUCAGGAUAAUCAAUUCUCUAAUCUAAACGUAAUAAAAUGUCCCCUGUUUUCUUUUGGGAAAUCCAAAACGAACACACUACGUUGGCUAACUGGAAACUGUCGUCAAAGUAUAUCCAUCUGAGGGAAAAUAUACUCUGAAGGCUUUAGAAUGUAAGAAAUUAUGGACCUUUUGUAUGUAUUACAGUUAUGGUUUUGUGUCAUAGGUCAGGCUCUGUUUCUAUCUUCAGGAGCUGCAGCAGGCAUUGUCUGUGCAGUCUCAGGACAUAGUGCAUGUGACUGCGCUUCAGCAUGUGUCAUUUUAAAUCAUCCUCUCAGGAAUUAUGCUGCUAAUGCAAUAAAUGGAGGCUGACUAAAAAACAGAAAUGGUUUUACUUUGUAUUUUGGUAUAUUUCAAGGUCAUGGCUUGACAAUGUAUAUCCAGUACUUAACGGAUGUUUCAAAAUUUAAAAUUAAAUUGUUUUAAUUAGGAGUUACAAUUCAUUAUUGAGUUGUCUGGAUGUGCACUCACAACCAACUCUCUCUAUGGUAGUUUGUUUUUCCCACCAACCCUCCCACUCCUGUCGUGACAGAUCAGGAGGCGAUGUUGAUGCAAUAGCAGGUGUGUCUGAAUUUAGAGCUACAGAGAGAGGUGUCACUGCCACACACAUCUACGAGUACUCUCCCAGCAUUCCCUUGGCUUCAUUAGGCAAUAUCAUCUUUUCAUAUCUCAUUUCUCAGCCAAUCAAUCAAAGUUAAACUCUCCCUGGAAAAAGUUUUUUCUUGGAUGUCUAAAACCCUCCAUGGUCUAUGUACUGUAGCAGCGAGAGGCAUUUAGCUGGAGCAGACUGAAGGUGGAAAUGCUGGUAGAGGCUGACUGCUAGUGAAUGCAUGCACAUGCGCAUGUAUGCGUGCUAGUGUGGUCCUGUUUGUGUGUAGGGGUUUGUGCGUGCAUGUGCGCAGGCAAACUAUACUAGAAGCGUUUUUUUUUUUUUUUUUAAUCUGUUUUUAGUUUCCGCAAGGCUGGCUGAAUUCAUGGAUGAUUUUUUUAGACUAUGACAUCAAUUGAACUAUUUCACAAUGGCACUGCAUAAUUCUUAGGAAAUUUAUAAGGAUCUUCUCAUUUGUGGAUUUAAUGGCCACAGUCACCACUGUAUUUGAGAUUUGGUCAACUCAAGAUAGCGAUGGGCUACUGGCGAAAUGGCUAAAGUGUGUGCUGAAAGGUGGGUCUGCUUAAGCACGGCAGCUUGCCUAAACACGACUACUGAUCCGUCAGCGCUAACAGUUCUGUGAAAAACAACAGCGAGGUCUUCGGAACACAUGGACAUGCGGGGCGUCUCUUGGAUGGAGUUUUGGCAAAUCAGCUGUGGAUUCAUUUGAGUAAUGCCUUAAAUUGGUAUGGGUUUGGGGGAUUUUUUUUUUUUUUUUUUUCACUUGUUGCUUUUCGUUGUUACUGGACUUCCUCUUAACGCUCAGUCAAAGCCCUUUGGUGGAAUGUGGACAUUCUGCUUGUGUGAAAGGACUUUGAGGACAAGAGGAACAUGGAGUCCCGCCAAAGGGAGACUGGGAGGAGAGAGGGAAGGAAGAAGGGAAAGGAGGGGCAGGGUUGGACGAAAAAGAAACAAAUACAAGAAAUUGACAAGCAGCAAGUGCCAAAAAAAGGCUUGAAUAAAUAGCUGAAUUGAAGCCCUUUGUGGAAUAAUGCAAUAGUAAGACUGCACUGACUGUGUGUCAUGUGCUUGUUUUGCUCACUUUAUAUAGUAUAGUUCUAAUCUUGUGUCUAAUUCUUGCACCUGUAAAACGUAAAGAGGCUAAAAACCAAAAAUGUCAAAUAAGCAUGGCUCUGAAACUGUACAUUUUAUUCUGUGAAUUUGUUUGUUAUUAAUUAAGCAAUUGCCGAAGAGAUAAGGGAAAUAACAUAAUGUUAAACAAACCAUA